rnacentral:rRNA from 1 species
GACGAACGCUGGCGGCGUGCCUAAUACAUGCAAGUCGAACGCUUUUUCUUUCACCGGAGCUUGCUCCACCGAAAGAAAAAGAGUGGCGAACGGGUGAGUAACACGUGGGUAACCUGCCCAUCAGAAGGGGACAACACUUGGAAACAGGUGCUAAUACCGUAUAACACUAUUUUCCGCAUGGAAGAAAGUUGAAAGGCGCUUUUGCGUCACUGAUGGAUGGACCCGCGGUGCAUUAGCUAGUUGGUGAGGUAACGGCUCACCAAGGCAACGAUGCAUAGCCGACCUGAGAGGGUGAUCGGCCACACUGGGACUGAGACACGGCCCAGACUCCUAUGGGAGGCAGCAGUAGGGAAUCUUCGGCAAUGGACGAAAGUCUGACCGAGCAACGCCGCGUGAGUGAAGAAGGUUUUCGGAUCGUAAAACUCUGUUGUUAGAGAAGAACAAGGAUGAGAGUAGAACGUUCAUCCCUUGACGGUAUCUAACCAGAAAGCCACGGCUAACUACGUGCCAGCAGCCGCAGUAA